rnacentral:rRNA from 1 species
UACGUAGGGGGCAAGCGUUGUCCGGAUUUAUUGGGCGUAAAGCGCUCGCAGGUGGUCCGAUGCGUCGUGCGUGAAAGACCCCGGCUCAACUGGGGGGUGUCGUACGAUACGGUCGGACUGGAGGCCAGUAGGGGGAUGCGGAAUUCCGGGUGUAGUGGUGGAAUGCGUAGAGAUCCGGAGGAACACCAGCGGCGAAGGCGGCAUCCUGGACUGGUCCUGACACUCAGGAGCGAAAGCGUGGGGAGCGAUCCGG